AGAGUUUGAUCCUGGCUCAGAUUGAACGCUGGCGGCAGGCUUAACACAUGCAAGUCGAGCGGAGAGAGGUAGCUUGCUACUGAUCUUAGCGGCGGACGGGUGAGUAAUGCUUAGGAAUCUGCCUAUUAGUGGGGGACAACAUCUCGAAAGGGAUGCUAAUACCGCAUACGUCCUACGGGAGAAAGCAGGGGAUCUUCGGACCUUGCGCUAAUAGAUGAGCCUAAGUCGGAUUAGCUAGUUGGUGGGGUAAAGGCCUACCAAGGCGACGAUCUGUAGCGGGUCUGAGAGGAUGAUCCGCCACGCUGGGACUGAGACACGGCCCAGACUCCUACGGGAGGCAGCAGUGGGGAAUAUUGGACAAUGGGGGGAACCCUGAUCCAGCCAUGCCGCGUGUGUGAAGAAGGCCUUAUGGUUGUAAAGCACUUUAAGCGAGGAGGAGGCUACUUUAGUUAAUACCUAGAGAUAGUGGACGUUACUCGCAGAAUAAGCACCGGCUAACUCUGUGCCAGCAGCCGCGGUAAUACAGAGGGUGCAAGCGUUAAUCGGAUUUACUGGGCGUAAAGCGCGCGUAGGCGGCUAAUUAAGUCAAAUGUGAAAUCCCCGAGCUUAACUUGGGAAUUGCAUUCGAUACUGGUUAGCUAGAGUGUGGGAGAGGAUGGUAGAAUUCCAGGUGUAGCGGUGAAAUGCGUAGAGAUCUGGAGGAAUACCGAUGGCGAAGGCAGCCAUCUGGCCUAACACUGACGCUGAGGUGCGAAAGCAUGGGGAGCAAACAGGAUUAGAUACCCUGGUAGUCCAUGCCGUAAACGAUGUCUACUAGCCGUUGGGGCCUUUGAGGCUUUAGUGGCGCAGCUAACGCGAUAAGUAGACCGCCUGGGGAGUACGGUCGCAAGACUAAAACUCAAAUGAAUUGACGGGGGCCCGCACAAGCGGUGGAGCAUGUGGUUUAAUUCGAUGCAACGCGAAGAACCUUACCUGCCUUGACAUAGUAAGAACUUUCCAGAGAUGGAUUGGUGCCUUCGGGAACUUACAUACAGGUGCUGCAUGGCUGUCGUCAGCUCGUGUCGUGAGAUGUUGGGUUAAGUCCCGCAACGAGCGCAACCCUUUUCCUUAUUUGCCAGCGAGUAAUGUCGGGAACUUUAAGGAUACUGCCAGUGACAAACUGGAGGAAGGCGGGGACGACGUCAAGUCAUCAUGGCCCUUACGGCCAGGGCUACACACGUGCUACAAUGGUCGGUACAAAGGGUUGCUACACAGCGAUGUGAUGCUAAUCUCAAAAAGCCGAUCGUAGUCCGGAUUGGAGUCUGCAACUCGACUCCAUGAAGUCGGAAUCGCUAGUAAUCGCGGAUCAGAAUGCCGCGGUGAAUACGUUCCCGGGCCUUGUACACACCGCCCGUCACACCAUGGGAGUUUGUUGCACCAGAAGUAGCUAGCCUAACUGCAAAGAGGGCGGUUACCACGGUGUGGCCGAUGACUGGGGUGAAGUCGUAACAAGGUAACC
rnacentral:rRNA from 1 species